rnacentral:rRNA from 1 species
CACGUAGGGGGCGAGCGUUGUCCGGAUUUAUUGGGCGUAAAGAGCUCGUAGGCGGUUUCGUAAGUCGGAUGUGAAAACUCCAGGCUCAACUUGGAGACGCCAUUCGAUACUGCGAUGACUUGAGUCCGGUAGGGGAGUGUGGAAUUCCUGGUGUAGCGGUGAAAUGCGCAGAUAUCAGGAGGAACACCGGUGGCGAAGGCGGCAUCCUGGACCAAUUCUGACGCUGAUGAGCGAAAGCCAGGGGAGCAAACGGG